UGGGGAAUAUUGCACAAUGGGCGAAAGCCUGAUGCAGCGACGCCUCGUGAGUGAAGAAGUAUUUCGGUAUGUAAAGCUCUAUCAGCAGGGAAGAAAAUGACGGUACCUGACUAAGAAGCCCCGGCUAACUACGUGCCAGCAGCCGCGGUAAUACGCAGGGGGCAAGCGUUAUCCGGAUUUACUGGGUGUAAAGGGAGCGUAGACGGCGAAGCAAGUCUGAAGUGAAAACCCAGGGCUCAACCCUGGGACUGCUUUGGAAACUGUUAUGCUAGGGUGUCGGAGAGGUAAGUGGAAUUCCGAGUGUAGCGGUGAAAUGCGUAGAUAUUAGGAGGAACACCAGUGGCGAAGGCGGCUUACUGGACGAUAACUGACGUUGAGGCUCGAAAGCGUGGGGAGCAAACAGG
rnacentral:rRNA from 1 species